rnacentral:rRNA from 1 species
CAGUAGCCGCGGGAAAACGAAGGGUGCAAGCGUUAAUCGGAAUUACUGGGCGUAAAGCGCGCGUAGGUGGUUUAUUAAGUUGGAUGUGAAAGCCCUGGGCUCAACCUGGGAACUGCAUCCAAAACUGGUGAGCUAGAGUACGGUAGAGGGUAGUGGAAUUUCCUGUGUAGCGGUGAAAUGCGUAGAUAUAGGAAGGAACACCAGUGGCGAAGGCGACUACCUGGACUGAUACUGACACUGAGGUGCGAAAGCGUGGGGAGCAAACAGGAUUAGAUACCCGCGUAGUCCCUGUCUCUUAUAC